rnacentral:lncRNA from 1 species
CUUUAUACUGGUUUGAAAAUUACACAUUGGAAUUUUAAUUUUUAAUAGAUACACUUAAGCUUUUACCAUUGAAAACUGAUUUAAAUCCCAAUGUCAAUCCUAUAUCUUCCUUCCAAAGAAUACAAGGAAUUUCAGACUCUUAAAGCAAAGUCUUCCUCCUUUCCACAUGGUAUUCUUGUCCAGUAUUUUAGUUUCACUCCUAUUUUCCCUUUACAUUUUUUAUUUUAAAAUAAUUGGAUUCAUAAAAAGUUUCAAAAUUAAUACAAGGAAUUUCAAAUAUCCAGUUUCCCUAAUGGUUACAUCUUAAAUAGCUAUGUAAAAUGCCAAAACCAGGAAACUGACAUUGAUAUGACAUUUUUGUAUAAUUCUACGUCACUUUAUCACAUAUGUAGAUUCAUAUAACCACCACUACAAUCAAGAUACAGAAUGUUCUGUCAUCAUAAAGUACUUUCUCAUGCUAUUCCUUUAUACUCACCCCCCUACUCCUUUCUGCCCCACUUCUACCUACCAUCCUUAACACUGGCAACUACUAAUGCUUUCCUUCAAUUUUGUCAUUUUGAAGAUGCUAUAUAAAUGGAAUCAUACUUUAAGUAGCCUUUUGGGAUUGGCUUUUUUGUGUGUGUGCUCAGUAUAAUGCUCUUUAUUUUCUAGGCUCAUUCUAUUAUUUUAAGUACAUUCUUUAGUAAUUCUUUCACAGAGUCUAUAAGUUAGUGGACUCUUUCACUUCUUGUUUGUUCUGGAAAUGUCAUUAUUAUGCCCUUAUUCUUGAAUAAUACCUUAGGUGGAAAUAUAUAUCAACUGGGAAAAGAGAAACGAUUCCAGGUAUUUAAAAUUAAAAGGUAUCUUGCUACAGAAAUUUAGGUGCUACAAACUGUAAGAAAUAUUCUCAAUCACUUCUUCAUCAAAUAUUCUCUCUCCUUCAUUCUUCCAUGGUCUUCAUCUAUAACUCUUAGUAGAUGUAUGUUGAACUCCAUAUCAUAUUUUCUAUUUCUAUAACUCUGUACUGCCUUCAGGAUAAUUUCCUCAAAUUUAUCUUACAGUUGUUAAUUCUCUCUUCACUGGCCAUAUUUUUCAUUUUUUAGAUAUUCUUCUUUUUUUUGCUUAUUCAUUUUGCUUAAAAAUAGCCUGUAUUUUAAUAUUUAUAUUAUGUGCUCAAUUAUCAGAAGUUAAUAGAGGAUAAUACUGGUAUAUAUUGGUUCUACUGAUUCUUGUUCAUACUGGCUGUUUCCUUGCAUAUUUUAUAACUUUCAGAAAGUGAGCCCAUGCUAAGCAGUGGAUUUUCUGAGGGAAUACAGCGUAGCCUGGGUUGAGAACACACCCUUUUAAAAUGGCUUUUGUCUUAAGUUUCUGUAAGGCACCUCAGGAGUAUUAACAUUCAGUAACUAUACGUUGGUUGAUUUCCCAGUGUAUAGAACUAGUCAGGAGUAUAAAUUUAAACCUCAAACCUAAAAAGGGUAUGCCUAUGAUUAUGAUCAGAAAUUCAUGGGGAAGCUUUUAAAAUUUUCCCCACUUAGACACUGGGCCCAGGUUGAGAAAAAAAUCUUCCUUGUGGUCUGUCUCUGCUGAAAAGUAGAUGUUUUGUUUCUGUUUUUAAUAUCCUGUUAUUUGAUAAUGCUCCUAGGGUUCCUGCUUAAUACUGGUGUUUCAUUUCUAACUCUGUUCACCAUGUAGGCCCCAGAUCUUGUCUCCAAAUCUUGACUGGCUAUUAAAUCUAUAUCCUUGGGCCAAGACAUCCCACCAUCCCAUUCUCAUGGUAGUCCAUGUCACUACUCAUGCUUCCCACUCUGUUUUUUAAACCCUAUAUAUUUUCAGGUCUUAAGAUUUUUCCUUACUUUCUUGUAAGCACAGCUAUACAACCAAAACGAUAUUUGUUGCAUAUUAUAGUAUUUCUAAAUAUGUAGUAGUAUGAGAGUUUUCAAGUUAAUACUAAGUUGCCUGUCUAGGAAUUCUCUAUUAAAUCUUUUUAUUUGUCACAUAGCCCAUGGCACAGCAUCUGCUAGGCAGCAGUGUAUCAUAAAUGUGAUGAGUGACUGGUUGAAUGAAUGAAUUACCAUUCUUUAUCAGCAUUCAUUUCCUUCAUUAAUUAUUUUUCUCCAACUCUGAUUUCCCAAAUUCCUCAUAAAUUUGUGAAUGACAUAUUUUAUGGACUUCAUUUAGACUAACAUAAUUUUCUCACAUUAACUAUUAUACCAGUCAUGGUAAUAAUCCUGCAUUCAGUUUGUUCCCUUCUAUUUGCCCUACGUGGACCUGUUGGUCCUCUUUUUACCAUGAAACUCUUGCUAUGUCAUUUUAUUGCCAAGAGGUUUGCAAAAAUCUUAUUUUGGUCAUUUUUAUCGUCUUAAACUCUUUUCUUCUUUCAAUAGUUAUAUUCAACUGCAUUUUCCACUAAAUAAGGCACUGGCAAAUGUGGGUAGCACAUAAGAUGAUUCUUAAUUAUUGACUGCUGUUAUAUUCUGCUUUAUUCUUAUAACUUAUUAAUUUGAGGAAGAUUUACA